rnacentral:rRNA from 1 species
GAGGCUCGUGAUUGGGACUAAGUCGUAACAAGGUAGCCGUACCGGAAGGUGCGGCUGGAUCACCUCCUUUCUACGGAG